AAGGACCGUCCCAGCCAAGUGCCUGUUGGUAGGAAUCCGCUUGGCCUCGGGUCUGAGGGGGCUUGGAGGUGGCUGUAGCUGCGACUGAAGCAGGCAUCCAGGAGAGUCCACAGGAAAGAAGGCGCCAUGGACGAUCAGGGCUGUCCCCGGUGUAAGACCACCAAAUACCGGAACCCUUCGUUGAAGCUGAUGGUGAAUGUGUGUGGACACACUCUGUGUGAAAGUUGCGUGGACUUACUCUUUGUGAGAGGAGCUGGAAACUGUCCUGAGUGUGGCACUCCACUUAGAAAGAGCAACUUCAGGGUACAACUCUUUGAAGAUCCUGCUGUUGACAAGGAAGUUGAGAUUCGGAAAAAAGUGCUAAAGAUAUACAAUAAAAGGGAAGAAGACUUUCCUAGUCUAAGAGAGUAUAAUGAUUUCCUGGAAGAAGUGGAAGAAAUUGUUUUCAACUUGACCAACAAUGUGGAUUUGGACAACACCAAAAAGAAAAUGGAGAUAUACCAAAAGGAAAACAAAGAUGUCAUUCAGAAAAAUAAGUUAAAGCUGACUCGGGAACAGGAGGAAUUGGAAGAAGCUUUAGAGGUAGAACGACAGGAAAAUGAACAAAGAAGACUAUUUAUACAAAAAGAAGAACAACUGCAGCAGAUUCUAAAAAGGAAGAAUAAGCAGGCUUUUUUAGAUGAACUGGAGAGUUCUGAUCUCCCCGUUGCUCUACUUUUGGCUCAGCAUAAAGAUAGAUCUACCCAACUGGAAAUGCAACUUGAGAAACCUAAACCUACAAAACCAGUGACAUUUUCCACAGGCAUCAAAAUGGGCCAACAUAUUACAUUACCACCCAUUCAAAAGCUUGAAGAAGCUCUAUAUGAAUAUCAACCACUGCAAAUAGAGACUUGUGGGCCACAAGUUCCUGAGCUUGAGAUGCUAGGAAGACUUGGGUUGUGGCAAGUAAAACUUGACCUGUGAUAAUGUCAGUCUCUCAACAUUAAGGACUCAGUGCCUGUUUUGAGCAGUGGAAAGUGAGACGAACCUUGAUCAAUGUGUUAUAGUUCCCAGCUGUGAGCCUCGCUUAGGCUAAACCAGAGUACUAACCUGCUUUCAUGACAAAUUCAAAGAAGCGGAGAUGCUAAGGCAUGGAGAGGUUCAGCAACCUGCCAAAGGUCAAUACCUCUUAAAAGGAGAAGAGUUUGGAUUUGAACCCAAGCGGUUAAACUGCAGAGUCCAUGUUCUAGAGAUAACUGUCAAACUGUCAAACUUAUAAACAACAGCUGUGCAAAACCAAAUCUGAGUAGUCAAACUUCUUAAGACUUCCAGGAAAUUUUACAGAUCAAGUAUCUAGUUCUUAUAUGGGAUAUAAGUGACAUCAACUAAAUAAUGGUGUUGAUAUCCUUGAGAGAAGUCCUGAGGAAUUCAUUAUGUAGAACAUGAUUUGACUGCUAACUGCACUCCCUUUUAUGCAGAUAUUAAUGGAUUGAAUACAUUUACUUGGUAAUUAGGAUGCAUUAUUAUUUAGUAUUCCUUAAUUUCUUUCAAUAAAUAUUUGAGUUAAGCUUCUCUUAGAAGUUACCUUUAGGCUGUCAGCAGGUGGUUUGGAAUAAUCAUUUCAAAAUCUAAUUAAGGUGGCAGAAAACUUGUCAAAAAGUUAACAAAAUUAAAAAAUUCUACCUAAUGAGUGCUCUAGCUGUCAUUUUCUAGUGGAUUAACCAAGAGUUCAGUUACUAGGUAUCACAUCAAAAAGUUCAGGAUGAGCCAAAUUUAAAUAAUGAAAUAAUCACAUGUUCACUUAUCCACUCUGAGGGAAAAAGGAGGAGAGGUUAAAGUGUGUUAAUAGAAGCAUUUAAAGAAUUGUUUUCUUCUUUUUUUUUUUUU